rnacentral:rRNA from 1 species
UUAGCAUGGAAUAAUAGAAUAGGACGUGUGGUUCUAUUUUGUUGGUUUCUAGGACCGCCGUAACGAUUAAUAGGGACAGUCGGGGGCAUCAGUAUUCAAUUGUCAGAGGUGAAAUUCUUGGAUUUAUUGAAGACUAACUACUGCGAAAGCAUUUGCCAAGGAUGUUUUCAUUAAUCAGGAACGAAAGUUAGGGGAUCGAAGACGAUCAGAUACCGUCGUAGUCUUAACCAUAAACUAUGCCGACUAGGGAUCGGACGAUGUUAUAUUUUGACUCGUUCGGCACCUUACGAGAAAUCAAAGUGCUUGGGCUCCAGGGGGAGUAUGGUCGCAAGUCUGAAACUUAAAGAAAUUGACGGAAGGGCACCACCAGGGGUGGAGCCUGCGGCUUAAUUUGACUCAACACGGGGAAACUCACCAGGUCCAGACACAAUGAGGAUUGACAGAUUGAGAGCUCUUUCUUGAUUUUGUGGGUGGUGGUGCACGGCCGUUCUUAGUUGGUGGAGUGAUUUGUCUGCUUAAUUGCGAUAACGAACGAGACCUUAACCUGCUAAAUAGCCCGUAUUGCUUUGGCAGUACGCUGGCUUCUUAGAGGGACUAUCGGCUCAAGCCGAUGGAAGUUUGAGGCAAUAACAGGUCUGUGAUGCCCUUAGAUGUUCUGGGCCGCACGCGCGCUACACCGACGGAGCCAGCGAGUACUUCCUUGGCCGAAAGGCCCGGGUAAUCUUGUUAAACUCCGUCGUGCUGGGGAUAGAGCAUUGCAAU